ensembl:misc_RNA 7SK 7SK RNA
GAAUGCCACCACUUCGGUCACGGUCACCCCGUUGAUCGCCAGCGUUGAUCUGGCUGGCUAGGCGGGUGUCCCCUUCCUCCCUCACCACUCCAUGUGUGUCCCUCCAGAAGCUGCCCGCUCAGGUGAAGAGGACAACCUUCCCCAUAAAGGAGGACCGUCCUUCAGUCAUGGGUAUUUGAGUAGCUGCACUCCCCUGCUAGAACUUCCAAACAAGUCUCAAGAAUGUCACAACGGGGUCCUUGAAAUUCACACCAGUGGCUGCCACCGCCACUUGCAUUGCUGUGCCAGGAGAGCCCGCUGCAUCCAACCUAAUUGC